GGGUUGUGAGGUUAAGCGACUAAGCGUACACGGUGGAUGCCCUGGCAGUCAGAGGCGAUGAAGGACGUGCUAAUCUGCGAUAAGCGUCGGUAAGGUGAUAUGAACCGUUAUAACCGGCGAUUUCCGAAUGGGGAAACCCAGUGUGUUUCGACACACUAUCAUUAACUGAAUCCAUAGGUUAAUGAGGCGAACCGGGGGAACUGAAACAUCUAAGUACCCCGAGGAAAAGAAAUCAACCGAGAUUCCCCCAGUAGCGGCGAG
rnacentral:rRNA from 2 species